UACGGAGGGUGCAAGCGUUAUCCGGAAUCAUUGGGUUUAAAGGGUGCGUAGGAGGGUAGGUAAGUCAGUGGUGAAAUCUUCGAGCUUAACUCGGAAACUGCCGUUGAUACUAUCUAUCUUGAAUACCGUGGAGGUGAGCGGAAUAUGUCAUGUAGCGGUGAAAUGCUUAGAUAUGACAUAGAACACCAAUUGCGAAGGCAGCUCGCUACACGAAUAUUGACUCUGAGGCACGAAAGCGUGGGGAUCAAACAGG
rnacentral:rRNA from 1 species